AACGAACGCUGGCGGCAUGCCUAACACAUGCAAGUCGAACGAGACCUUCGGGUCUAGUGGCGCACGGGUGCGUAACGCGUGGGAACCUGCCCUUAGGUUCGGAAUAACUCCCCGAAAGGGGUGCUAAUACCGGAUAAUGUCUUCGGACCAAAGAUUUAUCGCCUUUGGAUGGGCCCGCGUUGGAUUAGCUAGUUGGUAGGGUAAAAGCCUACCAAGGCGACGAUCCAUAGCUGGUCUGAGAGGAUGAUCAGCCACACUGGGACUGAGACACGGCCCAGACUCCUACGGGAGGCAGCAGUGGGGGAUAUUGGAAAAUGGGCGAAAGGCUGAUCCAGCAAUGCCGGGUGAGUGAUGAAGGCCUUAGGGUUGUAAAGCUCUUUUACCCGGGAUGAUAAUGACAGUACCGGGAGAAUAAGCUCCGGCUAACUCCGUG
rnacentral:rRNA from 1 species